UUAAGUUCAGCGGGUAUCCCUACCUGAUUCGAGGUCAAAAAUAGAGGAGGUUUAGCUUCUGGGAGCCGGCCUCCGGACAAGGGGCGCAAUCCUGCUGCACUCCAGGCCAUCAUACCAGCCGCCAAUCGCUUUGAGGCGAGUCCACGCACGGGAGGCGGGACAGACGCCCAACACAAGCAGAGCUUGAGGGUGUAAAUGAC
rnacentral:misc_RNA from 1 species